GAAUCUUGCGCAAUGGGCGAAAGCCUGACGCAGCCAUGCCGCGUGAAUGAUGAAGGUCUUAGGAUUGUAAAAUUCUUUCACCGGGGACGAUAAUGACGGUACCCGGAGAAGAAGCACCGGCUAACUUCGUGCCAGCAGCCGCGGUAAUACGCAGGGUGAGAGCGUUGCUCGGAAUUACGGGGCGUAAAGGGGGCGUAGGCGGAUCGUUAAGUCAGGGGUGAAAUCCCAGGGCUCAACCCGGGAACUGCCUUUGAUACUGGCGAUCUUGAGUAUGAGAGAGGUAUGUGGAACUCCGAGUGUAGGGGUGAAGUUCGUAGAUAUUCGGAAGAACACCAGUGGCGAAGGCGACAUACUGGCUCAUUACUGACGCUGAGGCGCGAAAGCGUGGGGAGCAAACA
rnacentral:rRNA from 1 species